AGCGAACGCUGGCGGCAGGCCUAACACAUGCAAGUCGAGCGCCCCGCAAGGGGAGCGGCAGACGGGAGAGUGACACGUGGGAACGUGCCCUUUGGUUCGGAACAACACAGGGAAACUUGUGCUAAUACCGGAUAAGCCCUUACGGGGAAAGAUUUAUCGCCAAAGGAUCGGCCCGCGUCUGAUUAGCUAGUUGGUGAGGUAAUGGCUCACCAAGGCGACGAUCAGUAGCUGGUCUGAGAGGAUGAUCAGCCUCACUGGGACUGAGACACGGCCCAGACUCCUACGGGAGGCAGCAGUGGGGAAUAUUGGACAAUGGGCGCAAGCCUGAUCCAGCCAUGCCGCGUGGAUGAUGAAGGCCCUAGGGUUGUAAAGUCCUUUCGACGGGGAAGAUAAUGACGGUACCCGUAGAAGAAGCCCCGGCUAACUUCGUGCCAGCAGCCGCCGUAACAC
rnacentral:rRNA from 1 species